rnacentral:rRNA from 1 species
AUGAACGCUGGCGGCGUGCCUAAUACAUGCAAGUCGAGCGAACAGAUGAGGAGCUUGCUCCUCUGACGUUAGCGGCGGACGGGUGAGUAACACGUGGAUAACCUACCUAUAAGACUGGGAUAACUUCGGGAAACCGGAGCUAAUACCGGAUAAUAUAUUGAACCGCAUGGUUCAAUAGUGAAAGACGGUUUUGCUGUCACUUAUAGAUGGAUCCGCGCCGCAUUAGCUAGUUGGUAAGGUAUCGGCUUACCAAGGCAACGAUGCGUAGCCGACCUGAGAGGGUGAUCGGCCACACUGGAACUGAGACACGGUCCAGACUCCUACGGGAGGCAGCAGUAGGGAAUCUUCCGCAAUGGGCGAAAGCCUGACGGAGCAACGCCGCGUGAGUGAUGAAGGUCUUCGGAUCGUAAAACUCUGUUAUUAGGGAAGAACAAAUGUGUAAGUAACUAUGCACGUCUUGACGGUACCUAAUCAGAAAGCCACGGCUAACUACGUG